UCUCCGUUGGUGAACCAGCGGGGGGAUCAUUACAGGACUCGCAAGACUCCUUCACCCUGUGAACCUCACUACAAGCACGUUGCUUCGGCGGGUGUCCCGGCGGGGGUUUUCCCUCGCCGGGGCGCACAGCCCGCCGGCAGCCUACUAUACUCUGUCUCUUUGCGUUGGCAUCUCGAGAAAAAACAAACAAGUUAAAACUUUCAACAACGGAUCCCUUGGUUCUG
rnacentral:misc_RNA from 1 species